AUUGAACGCUGGCGGCAGGCCUAACACAUGCAAGUCGAACGGUAGCACAGAGAGCUUGCUCUCGGGUGACGAGUGGCGGACGGGUGAGUAAUGUCUGGGAAACUGCCCGAUGGAGGGGGAUAACUACUGGAAACGGUAGCUAAUACCGCAUAACGUCGCAAGACCAAAGUGGGGGACCUUCGGGCCUCACACCAUCGGAUGUGCCCAGAUGGGAUUAGCUAGUAGGUGGGGUAAUGGCUCACCUAGGCGACGAUCCCUAGCUGGUCUGAGAGGAUGACCAGCCACACUGGAACGGAGACACGGGCCAGACUCCUACGGGAGGCAGCAGUGGGGAAUAUUGAACAAUGGGCGCAAGCCUGAUGCAGCCAUGCCGCGUGUAUGAAGAAGGCCUUCGGGUUGUAAAAUACUUUCAGCGGGGAGGAAGGCGGUGAAGUUAAUAACUUCACCGAUUGACGUUACCCGCAGAAGAAGCACCGGCUAACUCCGUGCCAGCCGCCGCCAUAA
rnacentral:rRNA from 1 species